rnacentral:rRNA from 1 species
UACGUAGGGUGCGAGCGUUAAUCGGAAUUACUGGGCGUAAAGCGUGCGCAGGCGGUUUUGCAAGACAGAUGUGAAAUGCCCGGGCUUAACCUGGGAACUGCAUUUGUGACUGCAUGGCUAGAGUUUGGCAGAGGGGGUAGAAUUCCACGUGUAGCAGUGAAAUGCGUAGAGAUGUGGAGGAACACCGAUGGCGAAGGCAGCCCCCUGGGUCAAGAUUGACGCUCAUGCACGAAAGCGUGGGGAGCAAACGAAGGAUACGA